UUUAGGUUUGAGGCUUUUUUAUUUUUUAUUUGCUCUUUUCGAUUUAUGGUUUGAAGGCUGUCGGUGUGUAGAGUGAGGCUAUGAUUGGUUUAGGUCAAUAUUUAGUUCGAGUAACGGGUAAGGUUUAUUGUGAUGAAGGAAAGGGUGGUUAAGGGUGGUGGAAUUGAGGGUUUGGAUGAGGUGGUAAAAAAUGGUGGAAUGAAUUAAGGUAGUAGGGUAGUGUGGCGGAGGCGGUAUGCAUGAAUGGAGGUGAGAAUUAGAAGAGAGCUGAGAGGGGGUUGGUUGAGGAGUUGAUGACGGUCGGUUGAUGACAUUUUGGUUUCAGGUGAUGGUUGAGUGAUUAAAAUUAAAUUAAAUUAAA
rnacentral:lncRNA from 1 species